rnacentral:rRNA from 1 species
CCUACGGGGGGCAGCAGUGGGGAAUAUUGGACAAUGGGGGCAACCCUGAUCCAGCCAUGCCGCGUGUGUGAAGAAGGCCCUCGGGUUGUAAAGCACUUUCAGUGAGGAAGAACGCCUGGUGGUUAAUACCCAUCAGGAAAGACAUCACUCACAGAAGAAGCACCGGCUAACUCCGUGCCAGCAGCCGCGGUAAUACGGAGGGUGCGAGCGUUAAUCGGAAUUACUGGGCGUAAAGCGCGCGUAGGUGGCUUGAUAAGCCGGUUGUGAAAGCCCCGGGCUCAACCUGGGAACGGCAUCCGGAACUGUUAAGCUAGAGUGCAGGAGAGGAAGGUAGAAUUCCCGGUGUAGCGGUGAAAUGCGUAGAGAUCGGGAGGAAUACCAGUGGCGAAGGCGGCCUUCUGGACUGACACUGACACUGAGGUGCGAAAGCGUGGGUAGCAAACAGGAUUAGAUACCCCUGUAGUC